UCCAAGCCCACCAAAUUAAUUAAUUUCCAUGUGGCAAAUUAAUUAUAAAGGGAUCAUUAUCCCUUAGAUGAUUCAAGAAACUUAGAAGGAGAAAGAACAAACAAAACAAGAGCAAAAAAAAGGGCCAUUUCGGGUUUGGCCAUAGAAAAUUCACCCCUCCAAAUCUUCCUCCAAAAAUUAUUUUCUUGUGGUAUUCCUACUAAUUUAAGGGUCCUUUACAACUUGGUGUAAUUGUUUUGGAAGAAGGAGCACUUAUUUCUUCAAGUUGACAACUUGUUCAAGUGAAGGAGUUGUAGAAAAAGAUUUUGGGCGAAACGGGAAUUGAAUUUGGAAAGGCGUAAAGAGCAUAUAAGGUACCGACGACAGGUUUGCUGAUCCGUCCGCUUAGGAUCUUAUUCUGCUAUUUUGGAGCGCUCCUUUAUCCGGAGCCUAUAUUUUGUGAUGCCUCCGAAAAAGGCGACGGCUGCCCAGAAGAAAAAGGGCGUGGUAGGAGAGACCAGCCGGGCUCAGAAGGGUACUCGGACCCUUGCUCAGAUGA